GAAACGAGAGGAAGAAAAAAAACAAGAUGGCGUUCGACGGCGAAGACGUUAUUAUGUUUAUAAUAGUUCUUUGUUCGUAAUAAGUACGUACACGUACACAUUUACGUCGUUUAAUAGAGGAAACGUCGUUAAUAAUUGUUUCUAUCCGGAGACAUUAGUCUGAGCGCGCGUUGACGCUUCUCCUGCUAGCUUAGCUUAGCUUAGCUUGUUAGCUUAGCUCGCUAGUUAGCUUAGCUUGUUAGCUGCUAACAAAGAGACGCGGACGUUAUUUAAACAUCGCCAAGUAGGGAACUAAUGUGAGUGUAAAGUGUCGUGGUUGUGUGAAAAUGUGCGAAGGAACGAUAGCAAAGUACGAAGAGGAACUUUCUAGAACAAAAGAGGAGAAUUAUCAACUACUGGACGCAGUUUUCAAGGAACAUCAAGUUGUGUUACACAGAACAGCAGAAUCCAGUGAAGGGCAUUUUCCUCCCGAGCAGCAGGAGUGGAACGCCCGAACGGAGCAGGAGUCACAGCCCCCCGACGUUAAAGAGGAAAGGUCACAGUUGCUCCACUUUAAAGAGGAAGAGGAGGAGGCACAGCCCCUUCACAUUAAAGAAGAAGAGGGUGAACUGGGUCUGAGUCAGGAGGGAGCGCCGCAAUUGGAGGAGUUCCCAGUGAUUGGCGUGAUUGUGAAGGGCGAAGACGACGAGGUCAAAGGUGAAAGUGAGGCGGGAAAAGGGGCGGAGCCUCCCACACAACACAUGACGACAGAAGCUGAUGGAGACCACUGUGGAGCAUCACAAGCAGACACGCUCUUAGCUCCACUGUCUGAUAGUGAGGACGCCACGUCUCACUCUGCUGAGCACGAAGACCAGGAGGACCACCAAGAACCCCCGAGCGGCGACCCAGACCGCCGAGGUGAAUCGAAGACGAGCAAACAACAAUUCCCCUGCCUCGUUUGCGCUAAAAUCUUCACCAAAAAAGGCAAUUUCACUCGACACAUGCGCUCGCACACCGGAGAAAAACCAUUCAGUUGCUCCGACUGCGGUAAAAAGUUCUCCCAUAAAACGCACAUGCUCACGCACCUGAAAACACACACGGGGGAGAGACCUUUUAUCUGUUCGGUUUGCGGCAAGAGUUUCAUCCAGAAGGUAACCAUGGUGACGCACAUGCGCACGCACACGGGGGAAAAACACUUCGGUUGCCCGGACUGCGGGAAACGGUUCUCCCACCGGGCGAACAUGCUCUCGCACGGGAGGACGCACACCAGGGAGAAACCGUUCGGCUGCCCGGACUGCGGCAAGACCUUCUCCAACAAAAGCAACAUGGCGAAGCACGCCAGGACGCACAGCGGGGAGAAACCCUUCGGUUGCACGGUCUGCGGCAAGAGGUUCUCCAACCGAACGAACGUGGGGAAGCACAUGCACACGCACACGGGGGAGAAACCGUUCGGCUGCUCGGACUGCGGGAGGAAAUUCUCCCAAAAGGCGCACCUGCGCGCCCACGUGAAAACACACGCCGGGGAGAAACCUUCCACUUGCUCAGUGUGCGGCAAAGGGUUCUCCGGCAAAACGUCAGUCCGAUCACACAUGAGAACGCACUCCGGAGAAAAACCUUUUAGAUGCUCCGUUUGCAAGACGACUUUUUUUUGGAAGUCCUCUUUGAAAAAACACGCGCAGAGUCACGGACGCUCUCUUGGUUGCCACGAAAUUCCACGCGGUAAAAAUCAUCAAUGCUGAGCCUUUUUAGUUUAUUUCCGUCUGAAUUUAUAUUCCAUGCUGGAUUCUGAACACUUCAUAAGAAUAUUAUCCAUCAGUCUGAUGAUUAUGCCCUUUUACGUGUACAAAGUGCAAGUCAGUACCACUUUAUGUCCAGCAGAGGCCGCCAGUGUGCAGCAGAACAACGACGUCACGUGACACUACGAACACACCUCCGUUCCUGUGUUUUGACGUUGCUGUGUGUCUCGUCAUUUCUCGUCGUCGUUCCCCUGCUUCUCGGACUGCUCCUUGGAUCUCGACCUCCCGCUUGGACACGGAUUCCCCUCUUCCCCUGGACUUCCUCAUCUCUCGUUCAACACUUGGUAACGCACACCUCAGUUAAAUACUACACAUAGUCUUACACCAUAAACACUCUUGGAUUUUGCCACACUCCAUUUCCUUAGUUCGUAUAUUUAGUGUUGUUUAUUAUUAUAUAUAUUACUAUAUAUA